rnacentral:rRNA from 1 species
GACGAACGCUGGCGGCAUGCCUAACACAUGCAAGUCUAGGGGUAGCAAUACCACUGGCGCACGGGUGAGUAACACGUAGGUUAUCUGCCCCCAUCACAGACAUAACCCCGGGAAACCGGGGCUAAUAUCUGAUGAGGUCGCGAGAUCAAAGCUUCGGCGGAUGGGGAUGAGCCUGCGGCUGAUUAGCUAGUUGGUGAGGUAAUGGCUCACCAAGGCGACGAUCAGUAGCUGGUCUGAGAGGACGAACAGCCACACUGGAACUGAGACACGGUCCAGACUCCUACGGGAGGCAGCAGUGAGGAAUAUUGGUCAAUGGGAGCAAUCCUGAACCAGCAAUGCCGCGUGUGGGAUGACAGGGCUUCGCCUUGUAAAACCACUGUCGGACGGGACGAAAGGAGGCCUCGGGGCCUCUGGGACGGUACCGUCAAAGGAAGGGUCGGCUAACUACGUGCCAGCAGCCGCGGUAAU